rnacentral:lncRNA from 10 species
CCUGAAGUGCUCUGAAGGCUGCCAACAAAAUGUCAAGUGAGUCCACUGACAAAAAGGAAGAGAAACCUUGGAAAAACAUUAUUGCUUAUGUUCCAUCUGAAUCUGAGCAGCUGACCUGAGGAAGGAGGUAAGAAGAAAUGAAGGAAUGAAAUACUGGAAAAAGCUGAAGUGCAGUGAUGGGAUCCAGAUCAGUGGUUGCCUGAGGGAAGCACAGGGAAGUGGAACAUCAGAGAGGAGAAGCCUGGCUCAACUUGGCAGAGAAGGCAUCUUCAGAGAAGGAGUGCCCACACUGACACCUGAAUGAUGACUAGUGCUUAACCAGAUGAACUGGAUGAGAAAGGCAUUUCAGACACAGGGCAUAGCAUGAACAAGGGUCCAGAGAUGAGGGUGCAAGCAGAGUCCAGGGUGCACAGGGAGUUCAGUACAGCUGGAGCUCAGAUGCUAGGGAGAGGAGUAGGGAGAAAAGAGGCUCCAUUACAAAAAUGUAGGCAUGAGAUCAAAG